GUAAGUUGGGUAGUUAAUUUCGGGAUUCAGUCUUUAAAUAGACAAACAAUAAAAAAAGAUUGUUGAAUUCUGAGGAAGGUCCGCCCACCCUAGCUCGCAAGAGAGUCAUUCUGGGAAACUGGAAUUGUUGUGAGACAAAGCUCUGUUAAAGAAACGACACAGUUCACUUUGAGUUAUGAAACAAGCGUGGAACUUUGAAAAGUGAGAUUUGAUGAAACGAACAUCUUGACUGGUGCAAGGCUUUAAGCUGCAUAGUGAAAUGUUAACACGAACUGUUCUGGCAUUAACUCCUUGAAAAAGGAGGCUCGAAGUUCGACAGAAGGUGGCCUAUUCCCAACUUAC
rnacentral:RNase_P_RNA from 1 species